GUGUAGGGAGCCGCACGCGCGCGCUCGUUCGCUGGCUGGCUGUUCACUUUACGGCUGGAACGGCAGCUGGAGACUCGGGAUUGUGCCCGUGGCGGAAAAGCGUCGACUGUAAGACCAAAACGUAAUGAUGCCAACAUCUUGCAUGCAACUGCUGAGAAAUCUGAUGCAGCUUGGUCCAAGUAAAAGCUACACCCUGUCAAUGUAUGGAGGAGACUUCUAACACCGAUGUUGAAGGCUCCCUACAAAGUGAUAAUCAUCCAAAGUGUCACAGUUCAAAUAGGCAGCCUGACUGCCUAGUAAGGAAAACAUUUCUCCAGUGAGCAGAAUCAACGUGAAGCUUAGUCUGCAGUGAAAGCUGAAUUAGUUCCUCUUUUUCUGUUAAGCUGAAGGAUUCAAGCUAACAAGGGAGACAAAACAGGGCAAAAACAAAAAGGAUAAUGCCAUACUUAGAUUUUCCACGCUUGAAGCAGGAAUCUCGGCUGCUUUGUUUCUGAUGUUGAGGAAAAAUGAGUUUAAGGAUUCUUUUAUUCAAUAUAAGAAUAAGGGAAAAAGAUUUGGGAUAAUAUAUUUGGACAUUAGUUAAGGAUACCAGCAGUUGUAACGAGAAGUAAGAAGCUGGGGAUGAAAUACUCACAAUCAAAGUAUGAACGCUUUCUUGUGUGCUUCCUAGGAUUCAGAAAGGGGAAUAAAGCCUGUCCCAGUCUUUGCCCGGUCCUCCCAGUCUUUGCCCGGUCCUAACAAAAGUACUUUGCAGCCAAUUGACUUGUUUUGCUAUAUCGUUACUGUUCUUAAUAACGUACUAAUGAUCACCAGUUUGCACAUGGCCAGUUCUUACAGCAAGUGAUCAAGGGAGACAUUGCCCAAAUUUCUUGUGACACAGUUGACCUGGGUUGUUUUUUGCUUGUUGCCAUUUUUUGGCAUGUAAAAACUGAUGUAAAUUAAGUGCAAAUGUCUAUUGUAUCCUAUUCCGGAGACCAUCGGGCUUUUUCCUAAAAUGAUGUAUUCCUUCAGAAAAUAAAGACUUAAUUAUUUUGUUGUUCA